AUUGAACGCUGGCGGCAGGCUUAACACAUGCAAGUCGAGCGGAGAUGAGGUGCUUGCACCUUAUCUUAGCGGCGGACGGGUGAGUAAUGCUUAGGAAUCUGCCUAUUAGUGGGGGACAACAUUCCGAAAGGAAUGCUAAUACCGCAUACGUCCUACGGGAGAAAGCAGGGGAGCUUCGGACCUUGCGCUAAUAGCUGAGCCUAAGUCGGAUUAGCUAGUUGGUGGGGUAAAGGACUACCAAGGCGACGAUCUGUAGCGGGUCUGUGAGGAUGAUCCGCCACACAGGGACUGAGACACGGCCCAGACUCCUACGGGAGGCAGCAGUGGGGAAUAUUGGACAAUGGGGGGAACCCUGAUCCAGCCAUGCCGCGUGAGUGAAGAAGGCCUUAUGGUUGUAAAGCACUUUAAGCGAGGAGGAGGCUACUGAGACUAAUACUCUUGGAUAGUGGACGUUACUCGCAGAAUAAGCACCGGCUAACUCUGUGCCAGCCGCCGCCGUAAGAC
rnacentral:rRNA from 1 species